UUUACAUCUCCAUCUAUAAUAAUAUUAACAGUGUAUGUGUUCAACUUAUCGGAAUAAUGCGAAUAAAUUUGUCACGUCUCCAACAAGUCGUACAUCGGCAACACACACAACACCAAUGCAUAAUACCGAACUAAAUUCAACGAAAGUUGGCUUUUGCUCCUCUCUGGCGGUGUUCAUCAUCAAUCAUCGGUAAUCAGAAGCGGCCGACCAUCCGCAGCCACUCUGCUGAACCAGGCCGAUAAUACGGCGGAACCGGCCGAAACUUUGCCAUUAUAUCCUGCUGGGACACACGCAUCGCACCUAUCUCGCACCGGGGACCCUCGUCGACGCGUCUUGAUGAUUUAUACCGUGAUUUAUAAAGUGUAACUCCCCCUACAGUAUAUAUCAACCAAGACCGUACAAUUUUUAACCAUAUUUAAUCAAAUUUCAGCCUAAAUCUAAGUAAAAUAAUCCAAAUAUGAACUUAUUGGAGAUUUGCUUCUAUACAGCAUGGAAUGGUUAUCAUCCUGCAUACUGGAGACAUGCUAAGCCGCCGGGUUUAUCCACGUGGCGCCACCCCCAGUGCCGCAUAUUUCCUAUUUCGUUCGCCGUCGGCACUGGCGUGCUUGCGGUAUUAACUCCUAGCCUUAUACUCAGCGUAACGAGUAUGCUAUACGGGGAUGAGUUUAUGAAGCUGCCAAGUGUGACUAUACACUUAAGAUUAUUAACAUAACUUCCACGCGAGUGCCGAUCAUACCAGUUAAGCACGUUAACUCACUCCCAACCACACAUGCAAAAGCGAAUGCAAAGAUGCUCGCUCGGCGACAAUUGGAUUUGCUUCAGCUACACCCGGGAGGCGCCUCCACCAACGCUACAAUUUCUUCUCCCUAUUAGCGCGUAAUUUAUGCCUGUCUCUUCCAUGUACGACACAGACACCUCGUGACUUUUGCAUGUUCUCCUCUCGUGUUUUUGGUUUUAUGCGCGACAACAUAUUAUGCCUUAUCUUUCGGUUAUUCUCGCUCGCGCUCAGCGUCAUAUCGCGCUUUUGUUGUUACUUCUUCGCUCUCACGUGUUUGUACUUUCAUAUCUCUUCGGUGCAAUGUGGAACGUGGUACCUCGAUGAGGGUUCGAGCGAACGGCGAGGAACUAGUUAGCUUUAUCGCUUCACACUUCGUUCUAGCGAGCACGCAAAAUGGCAAAAGUUUAGCGCGGAAUGGCACGCCGAGGCGUGUAGAAGUAAGAAGUCGCUAUCUCUUCCAAUUCUGAAAUAUACACACUCGUAUAUAUUCCGCGAUGCGACGCCGAGAAUGGGCGGAAAGAAAAAGUGCCGGAGCAUAAUAGGGAGGAAUCGAGUUUGGUAGCGCAAAGAGUUCCCUUAGAAAAUGUCGCAUUUUCUUGCUAUCAGCUUUAUUAUAUAAAGAGGGGCCACACUUCUGCAUGGAUACUGAAUUUUAUGGGCUAAAAUCUGCUCAUUCCAUGCAGAAUGAUAUAA